rnacentral:rRNA from 1 species
UGCAAGUCGGGACGGGAUUGAGGGGCUUGCCCUUCAUGAGAGUGGCGCACGGGUGCGUAACACGUAUGUAACCUACCUUAGUCAGGGGGAUAGCCUCUCGAAAGAGAGAUUAAGACCGCAUAACAUUAUGCUGUGGCAUCGCAGGAUAAUCAAAUAUUUAUAGGACUAAGAUGGGCAUGCGCAACAUUAGCUAGUUGGUGUGGUAACGGCAUACCAAGGCGACGAUGUUUAGGGGAUCUGAGAGGAUGACCCCCCACACUGGUACUGAGACACGGACCAGACUCCUACGGGAGGCAGCAGUAAGGAAUAUUGGUCAAUGGACGGAAGUCUGAACCAGCCAUGCCGCGUGCAGGAAGACGGCCCUACGGGUUGUAAACUGCUUUUGCAGGGGAAUAAACCUUCUUACGAGUAAGAAGUUGAAUGUACCUUGAGAAUAAGGAUCGGCUAACUCCGUGCCAGCAGCCGCGGUAAUACGGAGGAUCCAAGCGUUAUCCGGAUUUAUUGGGUUUAAAGGGUGCGUAGGCGGCUUUUUAAGUCAGGGGUGAAAGACGGUAGCUCAACUAUCGCAGUGCCCUUGAUACUGAAGAGCUUGAAUGUACUUGAGGUAGGCGGAAUGUGACAAGUAGCGGUGAAAUGCAUAGAUAUGUCACAGAACACCAAUUGCGAAGGCAGCUUACUAAAGUAUGAUUGACGCUGAGGCACGAGAGCGUGGGGAUCAGACAGGAUUAGAUACCCUGGUAGUCCACGCCCUAAACGAUGAACACUCGAUGUUGGCGAUAUACGGUCAGCGUCUAAGCGAAAGCGUUAAGUGUUCCACCUGGGGAGUACGCCCGCAAGGGUGAAACUCAAAGGAAUUGACGGGGGCCCGCACAAGCGGAGGAAGCAUGUGGUUUAAUUCGAUGAUACGCGAGGAACCUUACCCGGGCUUGAAAGUUUAGUGAAUGUGACAGAGAACGUCACAGUUCUUCGGAAACGAAACUAGGUG